AGAGUUUGAUCAUGGCUCAGGACGAACGCUGGCGGCGUGCUUAACACAUGCAAGUCGAACGAUGAACCUCCUUCGGGAGGGGAUUAGUGGCGAACGGGUGAGUAACACGUGGGCAACCUGCCCCGCACACUGGGAUAAGCCCUGGAAACGGGGUCUAAUACCGGAUAUGACUCAAGGUCGCAUGGUCUUGGGUGGAAAGCUCCGGCGGUGCGGGAUGGGCCCGCGGCCUAUCAGCUUGUUGGUGAGGUAACGGCUCACCAAGGCGACGACGGGUAGCCGGCCUGAGAGGGCGACCGGCCACACUGGGACUGAGACACGGCCCAGACUCCUACGGGAGGCAGCAGUGGGGAAUAUUGCACAAUGGGCGCAAGCCUGAUGCAGCGACGCCGCGUGAGGGAUGAAGGCCUUCGGGUUGUAAACCUCUUUCAGCAGGGAAGAAGCUCUUGAGUGACGGUACCUGCAGAAGAAGCGCCGGCUAACUACGUGCCAGCAGCCGCGGUAAUACGUAGGGCGCGAGCGUUGUCCGGAAUUAUUGGGCGUAAAGAGCUCGUAGGCGGUUUGUCGCGUCGGUUGUGAAAGCCCGGGGCUUAACUCCGGGUCUGCAGUCGAUACGGGCAGGCUAGAGUUCGGUAGGGGAGAUCGGAAUUCCUGGUGUAGCGGUGAAAUGCGCAGAUAUCAGGAGGAACACCGGUGGCGAAGGCGGAUCUCUGGGCCGAUACUGACGCUGAGGAGCGAAAGC
rnacentral:rRNA from 1 species